UCACCAUCGCCGCCACCCCGUCACUUCCAUCACUUCACCACCACCACAACAACAUCCCGCAAAAUCCGCUGCCUACACCCCUCUUCUCUUUUCCCACACUCCAUCUCUGAAACUUGCAGGCUCCAUGUGCGAUUUCAGCAGAUUUCAUGGAUUCGGAGACUCGAGACGACAACAAGCCUCAGUUCGCUGUCACGAAGAAGGUAAUCGCAUUUGUCCUAUCUUCGUCUUUGAUUUAGUAGAAGUGAAAAUGUAGUCGUUCAAGUAUUGCUUGUCGUUUGCUUGGUUUAGUUGGCUGCUGGAAUAUGCAUUCUCCUCGUUUGUUGUAAAAUAGCGUAAAAAUGGCUAAUUUCGUCGAAUGUGUGUUUAACUCCCGUCGCCCCGUCGCUGCUCGGGAAAAAGGCAACAGUCAUCUCCCCUUUCAUUUCCUGUUCACUGUUUUAGGCUUAGGAAAUAUUUAUUAAUUGUUUGGUUGUUUGCUAGUUUAGUUGGGAGUGAUUAAUUAAGUUUAUGUGAUUAGUUGGUUGUCGUCAUGUAACAUUUAAAUUCCUAUCUUACAUAGAUUCUUUUUUUUUCCUUUUAAAACAGUUAUAAGUUAAUUACCUUAAAUGUUCUAGGAAGAAUGCUGGUUGUUUGUUCAGGUGGAAGUUGAUCAUUUCUUUUAGUAUGAUUUUUUGGCAUGACCAGCGAAUAGUGGUAUUUAACGAACUAAAGAGAAGUGAGAAUGCCAACUUUCUUCUUCGAGGCUUAAACCUGCUCUUCUUGGUGGCUUCAAAUGAUAGAGCAUGACAUUGGUAGCGACUUAGAGAUCAUAUCUAUAGGUCUAAAUAGCUUAUUUUCAAUCUGAAACAGGACCCUUUUGUUCACAUUUGUACAAGUCAAUAACUAGGAUCAUUUCCUUUUCAGUUGGUUCAGAUCUUUUAUGAUGAUGUCACGAAGUUAUGAAGUUUGUUAAUGCUCAUGUGCAGUGGGUAUUUUCAAAUCUCCCAGAAUGUUUAUUAUAAAAAGAAAUGUUUGAAGAAGUGUCCUUCCUUUACAUCUUAGAAAAAUAAAAGCACUUCCUUGUGAGAAUAUUUUCUUUACUUCUAACUAAUACUUUCCUUCCUGUCAUAAUUUUUUUU